rnacentral:rRNA from 1 species
UACAGAGGGGGCAAGCGUUGUUCGGAAUUACUGGGCGUAAAGGGCGCGUAGGCGGCCCGCUAAGUCGAACGUGAAAUCCCCGGGCUCAACCCGGGAACUGCGUCCGAUACUGGUUGGCUUGAAUCCGGGAGAGGGAUGCGGAAUUCCAGGUGUAGCGGUGAAAUGCGUAGAUAUCUGGAGGAACACCGGUGGCGAAGGCGGCAUCCUGGACCGGCAUUGACGCUGAGGCGCGAAAGCCAGGGGAGCAAACGGG